AGUCAUAUGCUUGUCUCAAAGAUUAAGCCAUGCAUGUCUUAGUACAAACCAAAUUAAGGUGAAACCGCGAAAGGCUCAUUAAAUCAGUUAUGGUUCCUUAGAUCGUACACACAUUUACUUGGAUAACUGUGGUAAUUCUAGAGCUAAUACAUGCAAACAGAGCUCCGACCGGAGACGGAAGGAGCGCUUUUAUUAGAUCAAAACCAAUCGGUGGCGACUUGUCGUCAUCGUACAAUUUGGUGACUCUGAAUAACUUUAUGCUGAUCGCACGGUCUAGAACUGGCGACGCAUCUUUCAAAUGUCUGCCUUAUCAACUGUCGAUGGUAGGUUCUGCGCCUACCAUGGUUGUAACGGGUAACGGGGAAUCAGGGUUCGAUUCCGGAGAGGGAGCCUGAGAAACGGCUACCACAUCCAAGGAAGGCAGCAGGCGCGCAAAUUACCCACUCCCGGCACGGGGAGGUAGUGACGAAAAAUAACGAUACGGGACUCAUCCGAGGCCCCGUAAUCGGAAUGAGUACACUCUAAAUCUUUUAACAAGGAUCAAUUGGAGGGCAAGUCAGGUGCCAGCAGCCGCGGUAAUUCCUGCUCCAAUAGCGUAUAUUAAAGUUGUUGCGGUUAAAAAGCUCGUAGUCGAAUCUGUGUCUCGCGCCGCUGGUUCAUCGUUCGCGGUGUUAACUGGCGUGUCGCGGGACGUCCUGCCGGUGGGCUUAGCUCGCAAGGGCGGCCCAAAUUAAUCCUGCCGCGGUGCUCUUCAUUGAGUGUCGAGGUGGGCCGGCACGUUUACUUUGAACAAAUUAGAGUGCUUAAAGCAGGCUAAAAUUUUGCCUGAAUACUGUGUGCAUGGAAUAAUAGAAUAGGACCUCGGUUCUAUUUUGUUGGUUUUCGGAACCCCGAGGUAAUGAUUAAUAGGAACGGAUGGGGGCAUUCGUAUUGCGACGUUAGAGGUGAAAUUCUUGGAUCGUCGCAAGACGGACAUAAGCGAAAGCAUUUGCCAAAAACGCUUUCAUUGAUCAAGAACGAAAGUUAGAGGUUCGAAGGCGAUCAGAUACCGCCCUAGUUCUAACCAUAAACGAUGCCAGCUAGCGAUCCGCCGACGUUCCUCCGAUGACUCGGCGGGCAGCUUCCGGGAAACCAAAGCUUUUGGGUUCCGGGGGAAGUAUGGUUGCAAAGCUGAAACUUAAAGGAAUUGACGGAAGGGCACCACCAGGAGUGGAGCCUGCGGCUUAAUUUGACUCAACACGGGAAACCUCACCAGGCCCAGACACCGGAAGGAUUGACAGAUUGAGAGCUCUUUCUUGAUUCGGUGGGUGGUGGUGCAUGGCCGUUCUUAGUUGGUGGAGCGAUUUGUCUGGUUAAUUCCGAUAACGAACGAGACUCUAGCCUGCUAAAUAGGCGUAUUUCGACAUCUUAAAGGCUCACCAAUCUUGGGUUUACUCUUGAUUGUGUGCGGUUUUUACUGUCGGCGUACAAACAAUUCUUCUUAGAGGGACAGGUGGCUUCUAGCCGCACGAGAUUGAGCAAUAACAGGUCUGUGAUGCCCUUAGAUGUUCUGGGCCGCACGCGCGCUACACUGAAGGAAUCAGCGUGUCUUCCCUGGCCGAACGGCCCGGGUAACCCGCUGAACCUCCUUCGUGCUAGGGAUUGGGGCUUGCAAUUUUUCCCCAUGAACGAGGAAUUCCCAGUAAGCGCGAGUCAUAAGCUCGCGUUGAUUAAGUCCCUGCCCUUUGUACACACCGCCCGUCGCUACUACCGAUUGAAUGAUUUAGUGAGGUCUUCGGACCGGUACGCGAUGACGUUUCGACGUUGUCGAUGUUGCUGGAAAGAUGACCAAACUUGAUCAUUUAGAGGAAGUAAAA
rnacentral:rRNA from 1 species